rnacentral:rRNA from 1 species
GACGAACGCUGGCGGCGUGCUUAACACAUGCAAGUCGAACGGAAAGGCCCUGCUUGCAGGGUAUUCGAGUGGCGAACGGGUGAGUAACACGUGGGUGAUCUGCCCUGCACUUCGGGAUAAGCCUGGGAAACUGGGUCUAAUACCGGAUAGGAGCCAUUUUUAGUGUGAUGGUUGGAAAGUUUUUUCGGUGUAGGAUGAGCUCGCGGCCUAUCAGCUUGUUGGUGGGGUAAUGGCCUACCAAGGCGGCGACGGGUAGCCGGCCUGAGAGGGUGGACGGCCACAUUGGGACUGAGAUACGGCCCAGACUCCUACGGGAGGCAGCAGUGGGGAAUAUUGCACAAUGGGCGCAAGCCUGAUGCAGCGACGCCGUGUGGGGGAUGACGGCCUUCGGGUUGUAAACUCCUUUCGCUAGGGACGAAGCUUUUUGUGACGGUACCUAGAUAAGAAGCACCGGCUAACUACGUG